UUUGAAAACAUAACUAGGGCUAUUGAUCGACGUUGUCUCCUCAACACUUUGUCAAAGUAGCUGUUUCGUCAACACUCAACAAAAUAACUCCCAACUCUUUUCUUCGAGCAGCUCCUCAAAACAACUAUUUUCUCCUGAAAACACCAUCAAAACACCAUCGAUCUCUCAUCAAAACACAUCUCUAUUAGGGGUCAACUUAGUUCGAGUAGCGGUUCUAUUACUCAUCGAUUAGGGUUCGACUCAGUUCCUAUAAGGUUCUACUCAUCCAUCAUUGUCCUCAUUGAUUAAGGUUCCAUUUGUGGAUUCUUCGCACUAGAAAGGAAGAGGAGGAAAAUGGGGUUUCAAUCUGCUAAGAUUAGGGUUCCAUUUGUUGGUCAUUCAAUUUGUGGAUUUAUGGGCUACUCGAUUUGGGGAUUUGUGGGUUUCUAGGCGAUUCUUGCUGGUUUGCCUUAUUUGCGGAGAAUCUGCAGCAGACCAUCUUCUCCAACCAUUCCAAGGCCUCUUCAUCACUACUUUCAACAAUUGGUAAUUGCAAUUUCUGUGCUUUCUUCCACUCAGAAUCCAAAUCCUCUUAGUAUUGUCUUUGCUAUUCUCUCCCGCAGUUCUCGCCAAGUCCCGUUGCCCAAUCUUUGACAUUGAGACAAGGCAGAAGAAGACCCAAUGUUAUGCUGAUAUUGGGAGUGUCCAGGUCUGGGAGAUUGCUAGGAUGAAAGCUUCGAACAGCUUUGCACUCGUUAUGAAAAUCAUGUUGUUCAAGUAAAGGACGGUGCAUGUAGUUGAUGCUGGAUAAAGACAGGUGGGGAACUAGAUUUGAUUCCAUGGCUAAACAAAUCAAAAUUUAACCCACCAAGCAUCGCUUCAACUUUUUAGGUUUGACACCAUGGCUGCACAGACUAAGUUCUGGGAAUAGUGGGAAGACAAGAGUUUGUAUCAAUAUGUUGGCUGUAGAAACCAAGUUCCUGCACACACUAUAUGUGGCAUGUUUAAUUUGGAACAACGUAGUUGUAUCAACUUUUGAUGUCCCAAGUAGA